AGCUUGCUCUCCAAUGUUAGUGGCGGACGGGUGCGUAACACGUGAGCAACCUGCCCUUCGGCGGGGGAUAGCCGGCCCAACGGCCGGGUAAUACCGCGUAACACUUCGGGAUCGCCUGGUCCUGGAGUCAAAGCGGCCUUCGGGUCGCACCGGAGGAGGGGCUCGCGGCCUAUCAGCUUGUUGGUGGGGUAACGGCCUACCAAGGCUCCGACGGGUAGCUGGUCUGAGAGGACGAUCAGCCACAUUGGGACUGAGAUACGGCCCAGACUCCUACGGGAGGCAGCAGUGGGGAAUAUUGCGCAAUGGCCGAAAGGCUGACGCAGCGACGCCGUGUGUGGGAUGAAGGCUUUCGGGUUGUAAACCACUGUCAGGAGGGACGAAUACUUGGCGUUCAUGCGACCAAGGGUGACGGUACCUCCAGAGGAAGCGCCGGCUAACUCCGUGCCAGCAGCCGCGGUAACACGGAGGGCGCGAGCGUUGUUCGGAAUCACUGGGCGUAAAGCGCGCGUAGGCGGUUGCGUAAGUCGAUUGUGAAAACUCGGGGCUCAACUCUGAGACUGCAGUCGAUACUGCGUAACUAGAGCAUGGUAGAGGCAAGUGGAAUUCCCGGUGUAGCGGUGGAAUGCGUAGAUAUCGGGAAGAACACCAGUGGCGAAGGCGGCUUGCUGGGCCAUUGCUGACGCUGAGGUGCGAAAGCGU
rnacentral:rRNA from 1 species